rnacentral:misc_RNA from 1 species
CUCGGUUCUUUAAAAAAAAAAACAUGGAGAAUUACUUGAGGUGUUCUCUGGAACGUAAUGUAAAAAUGGAAAAUUUGGAAAAACAUUUUCGAAUUUUCUAUUUAGAAAAUUUUAACAACUAAACAAUAAAUUUUGUUUUCCAUUUUCUUAGAAAAAUUUUCUGGAAAACAGGUGUUGUUUUCCACAACUAAAUAGAACCUGAAUUUCUCAUGUCACGUACUUGUGUAUUUGAAAUGCCCUUUCCCUCCUGAUGUAGAAACCAAUGCACAUAGCAAUUUUUUUUUUCAUGUUUUCCAUGUAUUUAAGACUUUUGGGUGAUGAAACUGAUGUCAUAUAAAAAACUUGCUUUUACAUUUUACUAUUUUGUAGGUUACAAGUAACAAGAUUCUAUUUUUAAAACUACCUCCAAUAGUUUUUGUUUCUAAGUUGUGUGUUAUAAGCUAAUGCCCUGCAGUUUUCUGUUUAAUUGGUUAUGAGUAAUUUUAUAAAUGCCCAUUUGCUUUUCAUGAAACAAUGUACUCAAACAUUUAUUCUGUUAUCUGUUUGAAAGUUGAAACUCUUUUAUAAUUUAAUCUAACUCAAGUAUUUGACACCUGACAAGUAUUUUCCUCAACUUGUGUUAGGUAAAGUCGCGUCUUGAAAUAUACAAGCAAAAUGUAGAAGCAAUUUUAUCCACUUAUUUGAACAUUAUGAAGACGGUAACUUCAAACUUUUUUAUCGUUUCUGUUCUUUUACAGAUUAUAUGAAUUCACUGCCAGCAAUUUUUAUUUGUUGCAUUAUCUUUUUAAAAUUCAGAUUGAUGGAAGCCGCCCAAAAGAAGUAGUUUUUGAAGAAAUAUAUUCUUUGCUGUCUGAAGUGCAGAAAGAUAAAGUGAAAUUGAUUAAAUCUGGUAAACUUUCCGAAGUGCAUCAUGUAAGUUUGCAUGUUGAUUGGAUUUUAUAGUCUAGUUCAUUGCUUGUCCAACACUGGUCAAGAAGAAAAAUAUUUGCAUUGCAUGAACAUGUUUUAGACGGAUUCUUGAAUUUAUCUGUUGGCUAUAAAAAUUUAGUUUAAUUCACCAAGAGAUUUGAUUCCAAGAUUCUGACUUUGGUUUUAUUUUUGGAACAAUUAAACAUAAUGGUAAUUACAGAAAUUACUCAUAACUUGAUUUCAUUUCCACCUGUAUUGCAGUGAUUCAAACACAAUAUCACAAAAAAAAAAAAAA